rnacentral:lncRNA from 12 species
GUUAGAGAUGCCUCUUCCUGCCCCCACUUCUCAAGAGUGCCUUCCAUUCUGAAAGGGAGGGUGGCAUCUCUACUUCCGUAUUUUGUGUUUCCAUUAUAUGCCGAGCACCUACCAUGUUUUUAACCUUUCCCCCACUCCGUAUGAAUAACAGAUUGCUCCCAUCACAAAUAACAUUGUAAUGAACAUACUUAUAGACCAUUGUGAGAGUUUUUUGGGGAUACGAACAUUCGAGUAGAAUUUCUGAAUGUUUGAAUCAAUCCGUGCCCUGCCCCCAGCAAGGUGUGAAGGCUUUUAUACAUAAAAGGAAGAGCAAUAUAUAGUAUAGGUGUUAUACUUGACAUUUUAUUUACUUGGUGAGCUAAUACUGGUCAUUUUCCAGCUGAUUCUUCACUUUAUUGUCUAUGUAUCCAGCCUAAAACCACAAAUCAGGUAGUUCAUCAUCACCUAUGACUGCGGUCCAGCUGCCCAGCUUCGAACUGGCCAGGCACUGCAGCUCUUCAUUCUCAUCAUCAGCCCAGCACUUAUUCAUCAUGUUAACAUCAGCGUUUACCUUGGUGCAGCAUGGCCUCCAGGGUAGUAUCUUUUAUGUCCAGAGGACUUUUCACCACACCUGGCAUAGGGGCACUUAGUACAAGGCUGUUGACUCAAAGAAACAGAGAACAGAGGGGACACCCAGGUGGCUCAGUCGGUUAAGCAUCUGCCUUUGGCUCAGGGUGUGAUCCUGGGUCCUGGGAUUGAGUUCCCUCUGAGAGCCUGCUUCUCCCUCUGCCUCUUUCAGUGUGUGUCUCCUGAAUAAAUAAAUAAAAUCUUUAAAAACAAACAAACAAACAAACAAAACAAGAACAGAGGACAAAGAACAAAUUUGCAAAGAAAGAUGAUUCUAUUUGUAGCAGAUGGAAUGAAAGAUCAAUUUAAUUGGUACUGAGCCAUUAUGAGCACUUGUCCUUCAGAGGAAUCUAGAACUUUGGAUUUAAAGCAAAAGAGAUCAUUCAGAGAUGGAGUUGAGGGUCAGUGAAUUGUGUGGGAUAGAUGUCUAUGGACUGGGCGAUGGGACACAGGUUUAUUUAGCAUCAGGGAAGAAUAUCUGCCAAAUGGGCCAGAGGAGAGGCUCAGUGAGGCAGCAUUACCAGUGGGAAGGGAAUCAAUGCAGUGUUCCAAAGCCACAGGAGAAAGGCAGAGUGCUGUGUUUCUAGCACAGGCUGACAUCGACACCACUUGCUUCAGAGAAAUCUGCCCUUGCCUGAAAUUCCAUAGGAACUAGAAGAUAUAGAGACAUAAAUUCCUGCAAGGUAACAUAAUUUAUUGUUGUAUUCUUAUUUAUCAUCUAGUUGUCUUCUCAGAGACUUUCCAUUUUUUAAUGGACACGCUAAGAUUUUUGUCAAAAAGAAUUUAAACACUUUCUCCAUUAAUCUCAUAGAACUUGUUGGAGAAUAUAGUUUUUCCAAAGAUCCUAAAUUUCAGUGUCUUUGGAAAAAGUCUAUGUUAUAGCUUUUCUAUUUUAUAAAUCUUUCAUGGUAUUUUUUUUAUAAGUUAUUCCCCUUCUACCUAUCAAAGCAUAAUCUAUCAGAAUUUUCUGGAAAGAAAAAAAUUGCCUUAAGUCAUUUUCACUAUUUCUAGGUAUAGAAUUAAAUUAAUGCAAUAAAAUUUAAAGAAGAAACUCUUCCUUUCA